GGCAAGAUGGCCGAGUGGUCUAAGGCGUCCGUUUCAAGUGAUAUACAAUUAUAUCCUUACCUGAAAAAGGUGGUUACACGGAUCUCGAAAGGGACAGGGGUUCGAAUCCCCUUCUUGUCA